GGGGAUUUGGCUCAGUGGUAGAGCGCUUGCCUAGCAAGUGCGAGGUCCUGGGUUCGGUCCCCAGCUCCG
rfam:Rattus norvegicus chromosome 12, whole genome shotgun sequence.